CCCUUCCAAAUUCCUUACCCCUCAGAUCUAAAUAUUCGUCUGAGUGGCUAAAAGAGGAGGAACAGUAAACUGAAGUGGACUUGCAGUCUUCAGUGAUUUACAGGUUCAUUUCAAACAGCA
rnacentral:snoRNA from 1 species